rnacentral:rRNA from 1 species
UGAAUACGAGAUGCUACGGCGUCGAAGCAGUCUAUGUCAUACUUCCAAGAAAAGCUUGCACUGUCAUAAACAAAUAAUGCCUGUACCAUAACCGACACAGGUGGUAGGUAGAGUAUACUAAGGGGCGCGAGAUAACUCUCUCUAAGGAACUCGGCAAAAUGACUCCGUAACUUCGGGAGAAGGAGUGCCUUAUUUAUAAGGUUGCAAUAACAAGAUCCAAGCAACUGUUUACCAAAAACACAGGUCUCCGCUAAGUCGUAAGACGAUGUAUGGGGGCUGACGCCUGCCCAGUGCCAGAAGGUUAAAGAAGUUGGUUAGCAUCCGCGAAGCUGAUAACUGAAGCCCUGGUGAACGGCGGCCGUAACAAUAACGGUCCUAAGGUAGCGAAAUUCCUUGUCGGGUAAGUUCCGACCCGCACGAAAGGCGUAAUGAUUUGGAUACUGUCUCGGAGAGGGGCUCGGUGAAAUAGACUUGUCUGUGAAGAUGCGGACUACCUGCACCAGGACAGAAAGACCCUAUGAAGCUUUACUGUAACCUGAAAUUGAAAUUGGACUUUACUUGCGCAGUAUAGGUGGGAGGCGUUGAGAAUAUUCUUGCGGGAUUAUUGGAGCCAUCAGUGAGAUACCACUCUUGUAAUGUUAGAUUUCUAACUUUGUAUCAUUAUCUGGUCAAAGAACAGUUUCAGGCGGGCAGUUUGACUGGGGCGGUCGCCUCCUAAACGGUAACGGAGGCGCACAAAGGUUUCCUCUGAACGGGUAGAAAUCGUAUCUAGAGUGUAAAGGCAUAAGGAAGCUUGACUGUGAGACCUACAAGUCGAGCAGGGACGAAAGUCGGUCUUAGUGAUCUGACGGUGCUGAGUGGAAAGGCCGUCACUCAACGGAUAAAAGUUACUCUAAGGAUAACAGGCUGAUCUCCCCCAAGAGUUCACAUCGACGGGGAGGUUUGGCACCUCGAUGUCGGCUCAUCGCAUCCUGGGGCGGUAGUACGUCCCAAGGGUUGGGCUGUUCGCCCAUGAAAGCGGUACGCGAGCUGGGUUCAGAACGUCGUGAGACAGUUCGGUCCAUAUCCGGUGUAGGCGUUAGAAUAUUGAGAGGAGCCUUCUUUAGUACGAGAGGACCGAGAAGGACAUACCUCUGGUGUACCAGUUAUCGUGCCAACGGUAAACGCUGGGUAGCUAUGUGUGGAGUGGAUAACCGCUGAAAGCACCUAAGUGGGAAGCCCACCUCAAGAUAAGUAUUCUCA